GAGAUGGGAGAGUAAUGCCAAUGGUGGAUGCCUUGGCAGUUUGAACCGAAGAAGGACGCGUGUUUAAGCGCGAUAUCAACGGUGAGUCCUUAAACAGACAUUACAAGCCGUUGGUUUCCGAAUGGGAUAACCCCAUUCCGAGCAAUCGGAAUGAUCAGGUACCGUCUGGUACCUGAUGGGAACCCGGGGAACUGAAACAUCUAAGUACCCGGAGGAAUAUAAAUCAUAUGAUCCUUCGAUUUCACUCAGGAUCAUCCUGAGCGAGGUCGAACGGAUGAGAUUCCGUCAGUAGCGGCGAGCGAACGCGGAACAGUCUAAAUCCCUCUUCGCUUUUUACUGCGUAAAAAGCUACGAUGGGACAGGCCCAUUUAAUAUGAGACUGUGUCCCUACCGGAGAUUACUACGAAGUAGUAAGCGGAGGGGGAGGUUGCGGGAGCUGCAAUGUGUCCUUGAUUUUUAUAGGAGAAUGUUCUGGAAAGAACAGUCAUAGAAGGUGACAACCCUGUAUUCGAAAUAAAAAUCGGGACUAGCGGAUUUCCCAAGUACCACGAGGCACGGCAAACCUUGUGGGAAGCUGGGUCGGUCACGAUCCAAGACUAAACAUUCAAACUGACCGAUAGUGAACAAGUACCGUGAGGGAAAGGUGAAAAGUCCCCCAGUGCGGGGAGUGAAAUAGAACCUGAAUCCAUUGGCUAACAAACAGACAAAGCCAGGUACCGUCUGGUACCUGGUACUGUCGUGCCUAUUGAAGAAUGAGUCAGCGAGUCCCCGCUUUGUGUUUGCUUAAUCCAUUAUUUUGGAGGAGGCAUAGGGAAACCAAGUGCGAAAAGCGCGUUUAUACAUAGCGGGGGACCCGAAACUGGGUGAGCUAACCAUGAGCAGGAUGAACCCCGAUGAAAGUCGGGGGAAGGUCCGAACCCGUUGCAGGUGAAAUUGCAUGGGACGACUUGUGGUUAGGGGUAAUAUGCCUAUCGAACCCAGAGAUAGCUGGUUCUCCCCGAAAUAUAUUUAGGUAUAGCCUCUAUGAUUAAAAUCCUGGGGUAGAGCUACUGGAUGGUCUUGGUGCGCGUAAGCGUAUCAAAAUCAACCAAACUCCGAAUACAGGAUGUACACAUAGGGAGUCAGAUCUGCCCGGAUAAUCGGGUGUGGUCGAAAGGGAAACAACCCGGACUCUCGUCUAAGGUUCCUAAAUGAUUAUUAAGUGGCAAAGGCCGUUUCAUUUCCAAUACAGCAGGGAGGUUGGCUCAGAAGCAGCCAUCCUUUAAAGAGUGCGUAACAGCUCACCUGAAUAUCCCCCUUCGCUCCUUGCUUCGCAACGGAGCUACGGUAGGGACAAGUUCCCUUAACUUGUAAGGGAUGCUUGCUCCUCCGAAGCUCUUUACGGAGUAAAGAGCGGAGGGGAGGAGAUGGAGCGCCGAAAAUGAUUCGGAUCUAAAUAAUCUACCGAAGACAGAGAUACUUGCCCUCUGGGCAAGUGUGGUAGGGGAGCGUUCUUACUGCAAUGAAGCUCAACUGUAAGGUUGGGUGAAGUGGUAGGAAGUGAGAAUGCUGACAUAAGUAGUGACUCUUCCGAUGAAAACUCGGAAUGCCGAAAGUUCAAGGUUUCCUCAGCAACGUCAAUCGACUGAGGGUUAGUCGGAUCUAAGGGAGUACCGUCUGGUACCCCCGAUGUACAAGCAGUUAAUAUUCUGCUACCUAGUAUUACGCGUUAUUACUUUACUGAUGACGAAGUUUGAAUAAAGAGGCCUUCUAUAUGAGGGUUUAAGUUGUAAGUCUUUACCGCAAGGUUUAGGAAAGCAACGAAUACGAUCUGCAGUAAUGCGGAGAGCUUUUGAUUUUAAGUUUCCGGGAAAAAUCAGUAAAGGAGUGUGAUAUUAGUCCGUACCGCAAACCGACACAGGUGAUCUGGUCGAGAAGACCAAGGCAGACGGGUAAUGGUAGUUUAAGGAACUCGGCAAAAAAGCUGAGCGUAAGCUUUGCAACAUGCUCUGACCCGCUUAGCGGGUUUUCAACAAAAGUUUGUCAACCGACUGUUUAGCAAAAACUCAGGCUCCUGCAAACCUGUAAAAGGGAUAUAUAGGAGCUGAAACCUGUCCGGUACUGGUAAGUUAAUCGUUGAGGCUGAAGUAUUUAAGCAAUUAGAUACCAGGUUUUGGCGCAAGCUCCAGUGAACGACAGCUCUAACCCUGAGAGUUCUAAGGUAGCGUAGCCCCUUGCCGGGUAAGUUCCGGCCCGCAUGAAAGGUUUAACGAGUUGACAACUGUCUUGAACUACUGCCCGACGAACUUGAAAUGGCUGUGAAGAUGCGGCCUACCUGCACAUGGACAAGAAGACCCCGGGAGCUUUACUGAAACUUGAUAUUGGCGAGGAGGAAUUAACUGUUGAGAGUAGGAGGGAGUAGGCCAUUGGCCUACAACGAUGAAACACCUCUCUUUGAUUUUUUCUCACCUUACCCCGCCUUGGCGAGGGACAGUGUUAGGUGGUCAGUUUAACUGGGGCGGUUUCCUCCAAAAAGGUAACGGAGGAGCGCAAAGGUCAGCUUAUUCCGGAUAGAAAUCGGAAUGUAAGUGUAAACGCAAAAGCUGGCUUAACUGUGAGGAUGACUAUCCGAGCAGAUGCGAAAGCAGGCGUUAGUGAUCCCCCAUCCCGACGUGAUUUUCGGGAGGGGCUUAACGGAUAAAAGCUACCCCGGGGAUAACAGGCUGGUCUCGCCCGAGAGUUCACAUCGACGGCGAGGUUCGGCACCUCGAUGUCGGCUCAUCACAUCCUGGAGCUGAAGUAGGUUCCAAGGGUCGGGCUGUUCGCCCGUUAAAGUGGUACGCGAGCUGGGUUCAGAACGUCGUGAGACAGUUGACCGUUUUAUACACAUUUAACGGUGACAUGGAGCUGUCUCUUCCUUCGAUUUCUGAAAUUCGAGCUGUUGGUCUUUUUGUCAAAUAAUAAGGAAUAUAAAUCUGGCUAUAUGCUGGGAAGUCUUGCAAAUGAUUAUCUACUAGUGUAUAUUCUAAUUACUAGUGAAAAUGGUAAUCCCUAUUAAGGUGAGAUUAUCAGCAGGAAAGACUAGUUCCAAGAUGAUAAGUGAUGACUAUUUAAUCGGUUUCGUUGAGGGUGAAGGAAUGUUCUAUAUAGGAAUCGUUCCUUCUUCUGAAACCAAAACCGGCUGGCAAGUAAUCUAUUUUUUUAAGGUUUCUCAAAAUUCAAUCGGAAAGAUUGUUUUAGAGCGAUUUAGAAAUAGAUUGAACUGCGGAUACAUAAAGAAUAAUAGUCUUAAAGACGAAACUGAUAAAUCUUUAGCAUUUAUUGUUAGAGAUUUACCAAAUCUAAAAGAUAAAAUUAUUCCAUUCUUUGAAAAUAAACUUAUAAUUAAAAGCAAUGCUUUUGAAAAGUUUAAAAAAGUAAUAGAGCUUGUUUCUCAAAAAAAGCAUUUUACAAAAGAAGGAAUAAAAGAAAUUUUAACUCUUGCUUAUUCAAUGAACACAAAAAAAAGGAGAGUUAAGAUGGAAGAAAUAUUAAAAUCAUAUUGAACUAGAAUCCUCACAGAUCAUACGCCAGAGUCCGAUGUAAAAUCGGACAAGAUAUGAUCGGAUCCACCUGGUGACAGGUGGAAUACUAAUUUAAAUAAGUUAGUUAUAACAUAAUGUCGGACUCUAUCCUGUGCAGGCGAUUGGAUUUUUGAAGGGGUUUUUCCACAGUACGAGAGGACCUGGAAGAGGAGAUCCCUGGUCUACCGGUUGUCCCAAAAGGGCAUCGCCGGGUAGCUAUAUCUCUACCUGAUAAGCACUGAAAGCAUCUCAAGUGCGAAGCAGACCCUAAGAUUAGAAAUCCCUAUAGUCCACCAGUAGACCACUGGUUUGAUAGGUGCUAGAUGUAAGCUCUGCAAGGAGUUUAGUCGAGGCAUACUAAUGGACGAUCUCCCAUCUCUU
rnacentral:rRNA from 1 species